UACGUAGGCAGCAAGCGUUGUUCGGAGUUACUGGGCGUAAAGGGUGCGUAGGCGGCUUUUUAAGUUUGGUGUGAAAUCUCCCGGCUCAACUGGGAGGGUGCGCCGAAUACUGAGAGGCUAGAGUGUGGGAGAGGAAAGUGGAAUUCCUGGUGUAGCGGUGAAAUGCGCAGAUAUCAGGAGGAACACCGGUGGCGAAGGCGGAUCUCUGGGCCAUUACUGACGCUGGAGGAGCGAAAGCGUGGGGAGCGAACAGGG
rnacentral:rRNA from 1 species